GUUGUCACUUUGGCAGUACAUGUACUAAAACUGGAAUGACACAGAGAAGAUUAGCAUGGCCCCUGUGCAAGGAUGACACGCAAAUUCAUGAAGUGUUCCAUAUUUUU
rnacentral:snRNA from 1 species